GCUGGGUGUGGUGACGCACACCUGUAAUCCCAGUGGCUCGGGAGGCUGAGAGAGGAGGAUCACAAGUUCAAAGCCAGCCUCAGCAAAAGCGAGGCACUAAGCAACUCAGUGAGACUCUGUCCCUA
rnacentral:sRNA from 1 species